rnacentral:rRNA from 1 species
UACGUAGGGGGCAAGCGUUGUCCGGAAUCAUUGGGCGUAAAGCGCGCGUAGGCGGCCCUGUAAGUCCGUUGUGAAAGUCAAAGGCUCAACCUUUGAAAGCCGAUGGAUACUGCAGGGCUAGAGUCCGGAAGAGGCGAGUGGAAUUCCUGGUGUAGCGGUGGAAUGCGCAGAUAUCAGGAGGAACACCAAUAGCGAAGGCAGCUCGCUGGGACGGUACUGACGCUAAGGCGCGAAAGCGUGGGGAGCGAACAGGA